UACGUAGGGUGCAAGCGUUGUCCGGAAUUAUUGGGCGUAAAGAGCUCGUAGGCGGUCUGUUACGUCGGCUGUGAAAACCUGGGGCUCAACCCCGGGCCUGCAGCCGAUACGGGCAGGCUGGAGUUCGGUAGGGGAGACUGGAAUUCCUGGUGUAGCGGUGAAAUGCGCAGAUAUCAGGAGGAACACCGGUGGCGAAGGCGGGUCUCUGGGCCGAUACUGACGCUGAGGAGCGAAAGCGUGGGGAGCGAACAGG
rnacentral:rRNA from 1 species